AUCUGCCUAUUAGUGGGGGACAACAUUCCGAAAGGAAUGCUAAUACCGCAUACGCCCUACGGGGGAAAGCAGGGGAUCUUCGGACCUUGCGCUAAUAGAUGAGCCUAAGUCAGAUUAGCUAGUUGGUGGGGUAAAGGCCUACCAAGGCGACGAUCUGUAGCGGGUCUGAGAGGAUGAUCCGCCACACUGGGACUGAGACACGGCCCAGACUCCUACGGGAGGCAGCAGUGGGGAAUAUUGGACAAUGGGCGGAAGCCUGAUCCAGCCAUGCCGCGUGUGUGAAGAAGGCCUUUUGGUUGUAAAGCACUUUAAGCGAGGAGGAGGCUACUUGGAUUAAUACUCUAGGAUAGUGGACGUUACUCGCAGAAUAAGCACCGGCUAACUCUGUGCCAGCAGCCGCGGUAAUACAGAGGGUGCGAGCGUUAAUCGGAUUUACUGGGCGUAAAGCGUGCGUAGGCGGCUUCUUAAGUCGGAUGUGAAAUCCCUGAGCUUAACUUAGGAAUUGCAUUCGAU
rnacentral:rRNA from 1 species